GAUGAACGCUGGCGGCGUGCCUAAUACAUGCAAGUCGAGCGAACGGACGAGAAGCUUGCUUCUCUGAUGUUAGCGGCGGACGGGUGAGUAACACGUGGAUAACCUACCUAUAAGACUGGGAUAACUUCGGGAAACCGGAGCUAAUACCGGAUAAUAUUUUGAACCGCAUGGUUCAAAAGUGAAAGACGGUCUUGCUGUCACUUAUAGAUGGAUCCGCGCUGCAUUAGCUAGUUGGUAAGGUAACGGCUUACCAAGGCAACGAUGCAUAGCCGACCUGAGAGGGUGAUCGGCCACACUGGAACUGAGACACGGUCCAGACUCCUACGGGAGGCAGCAGUAGGGAAUCUUCCGCAAUGGGCGAAAGCCUGACGGAGCAACGCCGCGUGAGUGAUGAAAGUCUUCGGAUCGUAAAACUCUGUUAUUAGGGAAGAACAUAUGUGUAAGUAACUGUGCACAUCUUGACGGUACCUAAUCAGAAAGCCACGGCUAACUACGUG
rnacentral:rRNA from 1 species